AGAGAUGCACUGGGCGUAAAGCGUGCGCAGGCGGUUUUUGUAAGACAGAGGUGAAAUCCCCGGGCUCAACCUGGGAACUGCCUUUGUGACUGCAAGGCUGGAGUGCGGCAGAGGGGGAUGGAAUUCCGCGUGUAGCAGUGAAAUGCGUAGAUAUGCGGAGGAACACCGAUGGCGAAGGCAAUCCCCUGGGCCUGCACUGACGCUCAUGCACGAAAGCGUGGGGAGCAAACA
rnacentral:rRNA from 1 species